AUACGGAGGGUGCGAGCGUUAAUGGGAAUUACUGGGCGUAAAGCGUACGUAGGCGGUUGGUUAAGUUAGAUGUGAAAGCCCCGGGCUUAACCUGGGAACUGCAUUUAAAACUGGCGAACUAGAGUUGAGUAGAGGGGAGUGGAAUUUCAGGUGUAGCGGUGAAAUGCGUAGAGAUCUGAAGGAACACCAGUGGCGAAGGCGACUCCCUGGACUCGAACUGACGCUGAGGUACGAAAGCGUGGGUAGCAAACGGGAUUAGAAACCCCAGUGUCC
rnacentral:rRNA from 1 species